AGACUUCAGAAGAACUGACCCAAGGACAAAGGUCCACCCAGGCCAUGGAAGAGGCUCCUCAACCGUUUGGGUGCCUGGCUACUUCAAGAGUUGAGCUAAUCACAGGGAAGAUUCAGUCUCAGUUCAGCUGCCUCAUUUGAUCAGCUCAAGACUGAGUCCAACAAAAGUGGUCUGUCUAAUGAAACUCAUUUUCAUUUUUUCUCAUUAGUCUAUACACGAUUGAGACUGUAGAACGACAAAAGAAUAAAAAGAAGAAUGACAAUU
rnacentral:lncRNA from 10 species